UUCCAGCUCCAAUAGCGUAUAUUAAAGUUGUUGCAGUUAAAAAGCUCGUAGUUGGAGUUCAGAUUGAGCUCGGCCGGUCGGCCUAAUUGGUCAGAACUGGUUGACUCUGUCUUGUUUGUGGAUCCCUCCGGAGUUAACUCUUCGGAUGUGGAGUCCACAUCGUUUACCUUGAAAAAAUUAGAGUGUUCAAAGCAGGCGUUUGCUUGAAUAUAUUAGCAUGGAAUAAUGGAAUAGGACGCUGGUUCUAUUUUGUUGGUUUUGAGAACCAGAGUAAUGAUUAAUAGGGACAGUUGGGGGCAUUCAUAUUUCAUUGUCAGAGGUGAAAUUCUUGGAUUUAUGAAAGAUGAACUUCUGCGAAAGCAUUUGCCAAGGAUGUUUUCAUCG
rnacentral:rRNA from 1 species